rnacentral:rRNA from 1 species
GAUGAACGCUGGCGGCGUGCCUAAUACAUGCAAGUCGAGCGAACGGACGCGAAGCUUGCUUUUCUGAUGUUAGCGGCGGACGGGAGAGUAACACGUGGAUCACCUACCUAUAAGACUGGGAUAAUUACGGGAAACCGGAGCUAAUACCGGAUAAUAUUUUGAACCGCAUGGUUCAAAAGAGAAAGACGGUCUUGCUGUCACUUAUAGAUGGAUCUGCGCUGCAUUAGCUAGUUGGUAAGGUAACGGCCUACCAAGGCGACUAUGCAUAGCCGACCUGAGAGGGUGAUAGCCCACACUGGAACGGGGACGCGGUCCAGACUCCUACGGGAGGCAGCAGUAGGGAAUCUUCCGCAGUGGGCGAAAGCCUGACGGAGCAACGCCGCGUGAGUGAUGAAGGUCUUCGGAUCGUAAAGCUCUGUUAUUAGGGAAGAACAUAUGUGUAAGUAACUGUGCACAUCUUGACGGUACCUAGUCAGAAAGCCACGGCUAACUACGUG